rnacentral:rRNA from 1 species
UGAGGAAUAUUGGUCAAUGGACGGAAGUCUGAACCAGCCAAGUCGCGUGAAGGAUGACUGCCCUAUGGGUUGUAAACUUCUUUUGUAUUGGGAGAAUAAGCCUUACGUGUAAGGUGAUGACUGUACAAUACGAAUAAGCACCGGCUAACUCCGUGCCAGCAGCCGCGGUAAUACGGAGGGGGCAAGCGUUGUUCGGAAUUACUGGGCGUAAAGCGCACGCAGGCGGCGUGACGCGUCAGAAGUGAAAUCCCCGGGCUCAACCUGGGAACUGCUUUUGAAACGGUCAUGCUUGAAUCAUGGAGAGGGUAGCGGAAUUCCGAGUGUAGAGGUGAAAUUCGUAGAUAUUCGGAAGAACACCGGUGGCGAAGGCGGCUACCUGGCCAUGUAUUGACGCUCAGGUGCGAAAGCGUGGGGAGCAAACA